rnacentral:sRNA from 1 species
CCCACAAAGGCUGCAUUGAUGUAUGUGGCUGGCUCAGAGUGUGAUGAAUCCCCCCUGUUGUCACUGAACUGAUCAUUUCCAUCUGGUCCACCGACAAUCGCUCCGACAUGGAUGUUAGGGUUUGGGUCGCUUGUCGGUAACCAUGAUGAGAACCCUUCCUUGCAGGUGACCUUCCUGCUGAGAACUUUGAUCGACGGGAUGGACGAGCCACGGUGAUGAAUGCGCCUCGGAAACUUUGUGCUGAACCCUACCAUGUAUGACAUGCCCAGAGGGUUCUUCCCCAGGAUGUAAUCCACCUGAAAACAUGAAGCGUGCCAGAUAUUGAACAGUACCAUCUUGGCAAAAACCUGAAACUUGUCGAAGUUCUAUUGUAGCCUACCUGAGACGUGGCAAAUGAGCUGAUCUGAUUUGGAGAGAAUGUUGCAGCGCUACAGCGAACUCCCCUGGAGCCAGAAGACUUGAGCACCUUGGAGUAGAUGGACAGAACGAGGGUCGCAGUUGUUGUGUACUUACUCCUGAAAGGCACAGAGGCAUGAACUUGAGAUUCAUCUGAAGGUCACUGCAAUGAUCAAUUAUUCAGUGGAUACUGUGAUGUCUGACCUGUGCUGCAAGCAUCUGUGCUCCGGCAUACUUGUUGUCCCAGCUGAACUCAUUGACAGGGUUGCUGGAUCCUUGGUUGUUUGUCAGGAAGUCGAGGUACUUGGCGUCUCGCGUCGCCUUGAAGAGCCACGCUGAGGCCCAGAGGAGCUCAUCCUGAAAGAUUUUUUUUUCCCCCAAAUUAUAUCUGUCAGUGCUGUUCUUACGAUCUCACUGAUAUGCAUAUAUGCAUGUCAGUGGCGCAUACCGAUCUUGACGCGGCCAGGAGCCGCGACGAGAAGGCGGUGUCACCGUCGUCCUUGAGCGCGACGUACGCGGCGGCGAGCGCCGCCGAGGCCUCGGCGGCGGCCUCGGACCCCGGCGAGUCGGCGGUGAUCUUGUAGAGCGUCCUGGGCGUGUCCAUGUCCUCCGGCCGCUCCCAGCACUGGUGGUCGGCGUUGCCGUCGCCGACCUGGGUGUAGAGCGUCGUCGGCGAGGCGUGGGCGCGGAGGAGGAAGUCGGCGCCCCACCGGAUCGCCGCCCGGAGGUUGCCGAGCUCCCCCGCCGCCGCGACGGCGGCGCCGUACUCGACGGCGCUCCAGCCCAGCAGGGUCACCGUGAACGCCAUCGGGUACCCGAACUUGACGUUGUCGCCGGCGUCGUAGCUGUAAAUAUAUAUACGUUUUCUUCACGGCCAUCGGUGAGCGCCGAGUCCCCGCGCCACGUCGCUCGCUGGUUCGCCGGCAGCCGCCCCGACCGCUGUCCCUCGAAGAACAGGAUGGCCUUCGCCAGCGCGUCGCCGUAGUCCGGCGACCCCAGCCGGCCAAGACCGCCGCCGCCACC